CCCAGUGACUCUGCACUGUAAGCUGGACCAGCCUGCUGGAUGGAGCUUUUACUGGUCCAGACGCACACAGAACCCUGAGAAUGAGACCAACACUGCAGCAAACUCCUACACCAUCAGCUCAGUGGCGCCCUCUGAUGGAGGCCAGUACUGGUGCAGAGCUGGCAGAGGAAACCCAGUCUACUACACACACUACAGUGAUGCACUCUGGGUAAACGUUACUGCUCUGUCCCAUUCAGAAGCUCCACUCUCCAUCCUCAGUCUGCUCAGUAGUCUACUGGCAGUCUCUCCAUAUCUGCUAGUGUCUAUCGUGCUGGGGGUCAAAUGCUACAGAGCUCACGCUCUGACUGAAACCGGAAGCCAGAAUGCAGUCUCAGAAGAGUGAGAGUCUAAAUUAAAAUACUGAAGAUGGAAGGACAUUGUUCUGUUUGCUUGAAGUCAUUUCACAUGUGAGAUUGAAUGUUUGAACUCUGGUAACUUACUGCCAGCUGACCACCAGUUUAUAUGAAGCAUCGUGCAGUAAUGUUUUCACUUUUAAGCACAUGUUACUAUUGUGUGUCAUUUAUUCCAAUGUUAGAAUAUUCUCAUUUAUUUUAAUGAUCUUUUACUUUGUUGGACUGUUUUACUUCUGUUCUAGUUAAAUAAAUAACAACCAAAUAAAUUGUGUUCAUUAUCAUUGCACUGA